rnacentral:ncRNA from 1 species
AUGUUGUGUGAAAGAAGAAUAAGUUAGCUUUCCCUUUGAUAUAGAUGGAAGAGAUGCCCGUGUUCUUUACAAUGCAUAUGCAGUUAAAGCAUUGCCACCGUUCUGUGGAAUCUAAACCUGUGACUAUU